UACAAGCACUUUGAAUUGUCUUUUUCUGAAGUUGCUAUAUAAAUAAAGUUGCCUUGCCUUGCCUUGCCAAGUCAAAACACACUCACACACCCACACACACUAAGUGGCUAUUGUAGCACAACUGAACCCAACAUGGACGUUGGGUUUCUGUUUGUGUUUGUGCACAGAGAACCAACACUCAUCACUCUGUUAGUAACAUUCGAAUUUUAUUAUUUUUUUCCUCAAAUUGAUCAUUGAGAGGAGCAGGAUGGACCAUCACACACACUCACACACAGGUUUGUAUUAAUGGGGUCACUGUUGAACGAACAAUUGGUUAUUUAAUUAUGGUGAAUUUCUUUGUAAAUAUAAAUUCACUGUUACCCCUAAAGAAUUUGCUGUUGUUUUCGAUGCUAUUCCAGCAGGUUUGAAAUUUCUUACAUCAACCUCAGGUACAGCCCAUGUCCAAUAUCCCAGAUUUCCAGAGUUAUUUAUUGGUUAAUUCAGAUCCUUUCCGUAGCAUUAAAACUGAAAGUAAACAUAGUAGAGAAAUAAUCCAGAGGAAUACUAUUAGCAAACCUGCUUCAAUCCUUUUUUGGAACAAUCUCUAUAGAUCUAUACAGAUAUUGAUUGGGAACAAACAUGGUUAUUGCCAAGAAAGUCUUUUGUCUCAAAUAAAGUACGAGAGGUGUCUCUUAAAAUUCUACACAGGUGUUACCCUGUAAAUUCAGCUCUGACUAAAUAUAUUCCAGAUAUUGAUCCUCUUUGUUCCUUUUGUCACAUCGAACAGGAAACAUUAAUCCACCUUUUUGGGGAAUGCUCUUUCAGUAAAACAUUUUUAUUGUGACUUCAAUAUUUUCUUCAGUCAGAAAUGUGAUAUACUUAUUCCUUUGAAUGUUAAACAUGUUUUCUUUGGUAUUUCCAAUAACAGUAUGUCUGGGAAAGAAUAUAUUCUGAACUUUCUUAUUCUGUUGGCUCAGUUCCACAUACAUGCCUGUAAAUUUGCUAAAAACAAACCCAACCUCACUGUUUCUAGAGCUUAUGUAAGAUGUUUUUUUGGACUCUUUAAGAUUGUGCACCAACUCUAAAGCUACGAAACUUAUAACCUUAAGCGAUGAAUUUGAUUUGUAAACUGUUAUUUUAUUUUAUUUUUUUCCUUUUUCUCAUGGAAUCCUAUGGAUUUGUUACCCCAGCACCUCGAGCAUACUGCUGUCUGUAAUUGUAUAUUCUUUAUCCGUAAAUAAAGUUU